GGUUAGGUCUGUAGGUGGACUUUUACCUCUUCAUAAUUAAAAAAAAAAAUCUUUACUUUCUUAGAGUCAAUUCUAAGACAAAAGAGCAGUAAGUGUUAGGUGAAUGGGUUUCAGUGAUUUACCCAGGGUCAUAUACCAGGAAGUGCCUAAGGCCAGAUUUGAACCUAAGUCCUCCCAACUCUAAACCUGAACAUCUGUCCAUUAUGCUGCCUAACUGCCUCUACUGUCUCUAAUUUCAAAACUAUUUCAUAUUGCAAGACAUACUGAAACUCUUCUAGAAAUUCAUUUAGGAAAAAAAGAAAAUGAGGAAGGAAAGAAGGAAGAAAAGAAAAGAAUAAAUGAGAAAGGGAAAGAAAGAAAGAAAGAAAGAAAGAAAGAAAGAAAGAAAGAAAGAAAGAAAGAAAGAAAGAAAGAAAGAAAGAAAGAAAGAAAGAAAGAAAGAAAGAAAGAAAGAAAGAAAGAAAGAAAGAAAGAAAGAAAGAAAGAAAGAAAGAAAGAAAGAAAGAAGGAAGGAAGGAAGGAAGGAAGGAAGGAAGGAAGGAAAGAAAGAAAGAAAGAAAGAAAGAAAGAAAGAAAGAAAGAAAGAAAGAAAGAAAGAAAGAAAGAUAGAAAGAAAGAAAGAAAGGGAGGAAGGGAGGAAGGGAGGAAGGGAGGAAGGGAGGAAGGGAGGAAGGGAGGAAGGGAGGAAAAGAAGGAAGAAAAGAAGAAAGAAGAAGAAAGAAGAAAGAAGAAGAAAGAAAGAAGAAGAAAGAAGAAGGAAGAAGAAGAAGAAGAAAGAAGAAGAAAGAAAGAAAGAAAGGGAAGGAGGGAGGGAGGGAGGGAGGAAGGAAGGAAGGAAGGAAGGAAGGAAGGAAGGAAGGAAGGAAGGAAGGAAGGAAGGAAGGAAGAUAAAGAAACUGAGGUAAGCAGGAUUAAGUGGCUUGCCCAGGGUUACACAGCUAAUAAGGAUCUGAGAUGAAAUUUAAACUCAAGACUUCUUGACUCCAGAACCAGCACUUAACUGCCCAGGUGAGCUAUAACACAACUUUAGUCCUGUCUACCCCUGAUAACAUUUUGCUUCUAUUAAUAAUUCUUAAGCUUCAUUUUGCUGCAGAGUAGACAGCCUUUUGAAGAAUCUCAUAUCAAAUUCGACAGUAUUUUUUUUUUGCAAAAUUAUAAGUGACUCAGACAAUGUUAAAUGGGAAAGAGCCCCUUGGUUGUUGAUAUAGAUGAGUGAUCAGAAGAAUUUGAGGUGGCUGUGUCAAUAGGCUAUCGGGUAUAAUUGAAAAAGACUUGCCCACAAGAAGUGAAAUUUAAAAAUUCAUUGAAUUCUUUGAAUUCAAAGAAUUCUGGUCACUCGUGUAUGACCAGGAAAGAUAGUGAGCCAGUUAUAUAGCAAGAAAAGGAGACAACAGAUGGCCAGUCUGAAUGCCACUCUGAAACAGUAAAGAACGAGAAAAAAAAAAGCUUCAAGGGUGUUGGGUCAGUUCUCUUGGAGGAUGUAUGGGGAAAUGUGAACAAGAAUAAAUGAAAAGCCACAGAGGUUAUGCUUUGCCUC
rnacentral:lncRNA from 1 species